rnacentral:rRNA from 1 species
ACGUAUGGCGCAAUCUUUAUCCGGAUUUACUGGGUGUAAAGGGUGCGUAGGUGGCAGUGCAAGUCAGAUGUGAAAGGCCGGGGCUCAACCCCGGAGCUGCAUUUGAAACUGCUCGGCUAGAGUACAGGAGAGGCAGGCGGAAUUCCUAGUGUAGCGGUGAAAUGCGUAGAUAUUAGGAGGAACACCAGUGGCGAAGGCGGCUUGCUGGACUGUUACUGACACUGAGGCACGAAAGCGUGGGGAGCAAACAG